CUACUGCAGUCAAACUGUGCACUGUGCCCAGCUUCGCACGCUGGCCACCGGGAGCUCCUCUGUCAGAAACAGCUUGAAGCACUCUGCCUCAGAGGAAAAUGGCAAGGGGAUUUGCACUCCAGACUGGGACUCAUCAAAGCAAACAGCAGGGCCAGGAGGGGUGAAAUGGCUGGCGUCCUUCCAGCUAUCACAGAACUCCACUGUACUGUACUGCAUCCACUGUUGGUCUGCCUCCAUCACCACCAGCAUCUUCAAAUGGACCUGGGACUUCGUCAAGUGGACAAGGGGGCCUCAGAUUCAGAGUUCUAAAUGGCUACAAGGUUGGGGGGCAGCUCCUCACUGUCACUGUCAGAAUUGAAUUUCUGACUUUCAUACUCAGACUCAUCGUCAGAAUUUAUUUUAAAAAUCUCCAGAAUUUCCGCAUUUAUGAGUUGUCUCCUUUUGAAGACAUUGCUAAUGCUACAGCUUAGCUCACUAGCUACAUACAUAAACAACAACACUGAAUGGCUCAGAGUGGGAGUGAGAGGUUACAUGAUUGACUGCCGGCACACACCACUUGUAUCAAUAAAUCACCAUCAGAAAGUGUUUUGUGUGGUAAUUAUUUAUUUAUUUACUGUUUUAUUCACGUUUUCAAGUACUGGUGACAAAUCAUGCAUUCCGAUUCUUGCAUAGAUUGUAAUGGACACAUAUUAUGUGUGUAAAAUACUUGUUUGAAGGUUGUACUGAUUAUGAUGAGCUAAGCUAAUUCUAGCUAUGUGUGGAGCCAUGUUUGUUGACAUACAAUGCAUUAUGGGUUUCACGUAAACGUCUGUCAGACCAAAGAUGUUAUAACAAAAUGAAGUGAGGAAGGGUUCACUCAUUUUUCGAAUAAUCUUCCGAAAGUGAAUGAUGUGAUGUGAACAAUGGUACACGACACAUCCCCUUCAACAUGCAUACUAUAGACCAAAUUCAUCUGGUCUCCUCUUAUUAUCUUUGGUUGAUGCGAAAAAACAGACAUGGCGGCGUGCACAAACUACAUAUCGUCGGAUUACAUCCGAUUUCUAGAAAGUGUUUUACUCAAAUAUUUUUGAUCAAUGGUGAGCUCAGCUGUGAUGUGAUUCAUUAUAAAUAGUAAUUGCUAUUAGCUAAUUCAUAGUGUAGUUUUUGUCAGCUGAGAGUAUGACCUAAAAAUAUGACCACUUGUGUUACGUUAAUCUUUCCUCAGUUAGCGCUAGGACAAAGGUUGUUUACAUUUUCCAGUUUGGAUGAUUGUGUUAUGCUGUACCUAGUUCUGUGAAUGUCUGAACAUUGAUUCCAAAAAUAAACUGG
ensembl:lncRNA